GCUCUGGUUUUUUCAUAAAACUCCAGUUUCCAAUUGUACACUCAUCUUCACAAACAACAACAAUACGGCCAUAGGCAAACAUAGCCACGUACCCUGCCUGACAUGCUAACCUCGUCUAACGCAGCCAGCCAAUGAAAUGUAUAAACACUCAACAUAACAAUCAAAACCAGGAACAUCACAAAUGGCACAAUGAUAGCUAGCAAAAGCAGCAUGAUCUGUGGAUCAAGGCGAAGUACUAGCAGACAUGGCCAAAUGCAAACUGAGGAGAGGAACACAAAGGCAAUAAUAUGUCUAAUAACGUCCUGGAAAGCCUGCAAAAAGAGAUGAAGAAUAAUUAAGGAUAAAAUAAAGAAGAUAAUAUAUAUAUAUAUAUAUAGGAUCACAUAAUACACCUUGUACUUCGAGAAUAUCCCUCCUUCGACCUUACCCAAAAUUCAAGUUUCCAAAAAGACCAAAAAAAAAAAAGGGCCCGGGAUUUGCGCUUUCAUUUCAUCAGCAAAGUUUGAUCUCAAGUAUCCAUACGCUUCUUAGGUACUUGUACAUGCCUUCAAGCCAACACCCACAGCAAUCUGAGCUUCCCAAAGUAUUUAUCCUAGCUAGUUCUUCUUUUGAAAGCCAUCAAGUGUAAUACUAGUUGCCCACGCUCUGGAAUUGAUUUUGCCACAACAAAUACACUAGCAUGCAAGUCAACAACUAAAUUUCUCAGGACUAAAUCUCUUAUUGAGUCCAGAGGAGGAUGUUAGGGGCCGCUUGGUUUGAGGGGUUUGGCGUGUGGAAUGACGACAAUUCCAAUACUUAGUGCUUGGUACACUGUAAUGGCAAUUGAAAUAUUGGAAUCAUGUCCAAUUCAUGAUUCCUGGCUAAAUUGGAAGGUUUUGUGAAAUCCCACGUUUGAUUCCGAAGCUAAUAGAUAGUAUUUUUUUUUAAAUUUCAUCUUACUCAUUGUUUCACUAUCUCUCUUCUAUUUCCAUCACAUUCUCCUAUUUGCUUCCUUCCCCAUAUCAAACCGCCCUUCCCCUUUCCUCUAUCCCACUUAUUCCAAUCUUCUAAUUUCUCUCCUACCGGUGUAGCAGGCCUCUUUUUUUUCCAAUCUUCCACAGCUGACGACGGCUCUUGAAAUGUGAGAGUAAUUUUUGUUGGCCAAAGAAUCUCAUCUUGAUUGGUUUUUCAAAUUAAGACAAAAUUGUUCUCUUUUCUAGUUAUAAUCUCCAUAUAACAGUUGUUGUUCAUUUUUUUCUUUGGGGGUUGUAUGGCUGCAAUGGAGGACGAGUUAAGGUGGUGGAGUGAGGGGCUGCAAAAACCCACUCUCUCUUUCUUUCUUUCUUUCUUUUUUUUUUAAGUUGUUUAGAAACUAGAUCUAAUGAUCUUCAAGUUACAAGUGGAGUUUAUGAAAAUAGAUUUUGUGAUCUUGAAGUCCAAGAAAAAUACCAGUUGAUCCAUUAAUGGUUACUAUGAAGUUCUGCAAUUCGGUUAAGAAGGAUGUUCUGCAAUUGGAUUAAGAACAAAAAGGAGAGAACAAAAAGAAAUUAAAAAAUGAUAAAAUAUUUAAAUUUUAAUGUAAUAUCCAUUCCUGACAAAUAUCUACAAGCGCUUGUUAUUGUAUUGAUACCUUGACCAAAACCCAAUCAAAAUUCAUACUAAUUUUUUAUAUAUGAUUCCAAUUACAAUUCCGAUUCCUAAACAUGAACCAAGCGGUCCCUUAGAUUUGCUAUUGAUUCAUACCCUCGUCAAAGUUCAUUUUCAUUAAUUCAUGAAUAUCAUCUAAGAAACAAUGAACCUGUAUGUAAUAAAGGAUUAUUAUUAUACUAAAAGUGUAUAUAAGAUGUUAUGAAGGAGUUAAUGAAGCAUUAAUUAGAAGAAGAAGAGGAAGAAAGCAAAGGUACCAUGGAAGUUGAUGCUCUGUAAAAUCUGCUGCAAAGGCGAGAGAGAGAGAGCGCGUGUCAGAGUAUAUGUGAGA
rnacentral:lncRNA from 1 species